rnacentral:rRNA from 1 species
GCAUGGCGCGAGCUACACCUGCAGUCGUACAAGCAUAACUCAGGUGCUUGCACCUUUCAAGCGAGUGGCGAACGGGUGAGUAACACGUGGAUAACCUGCCUCAAGGCUGGGGAUAACAUUUGGAAACAGAUGCUAAUACCGAAUAAAACUUAGUAUCGCAUGAUAUCAAGUUAAAAGGCGCUACGGCGUCACCUAGAGAUGGAUCCGCGGUGCAUUAGUUAGUUGGUGGGGUAAAGGCUUACCAAGACGAUGAUGCAUAGCCGAGUUGAGAGACUGAUCGGCCACAUUGGGACUGAGACACGGCCCAAACUCCUACGGGAGGCUGCAGUAGGGAAUCUUCCACAAUGGGCGCAAGCCUGAUGGAGCAACGCCGCGUGUGUGAUGAAGGCUUUCGGGUCGUAAAGCACUGUUGUAUGGGAAGAAAUGCUAAAAUAGGGAAUGAUUUUAGUUUGACGGUACCAUACCAGAAAGGGACGGCUAAAUACGUGCCAGCAGCCGCGGUAAUACGUAUGUCCCGAGCGUUAUCCGGAUUUAUUGGGCGUAAAGCGAGCGCAGACGGUUGAUUAAGUCUGAUGUGAAAGCCCGGAGCUCAACUCCGGAAUGGCAUUGGAAACUGGUUAACUUGAGUGUUGUAGAGGUAAGUGGAACUCCAUGUGUAGCGGUGGAAUGCGUAGAUAUAUGGAAGAACACCAGUGGCGAAGGCGGCUUACUGGACAACAACUGACGUUGAGGCUCGAAAGUGUGGGUAGCAAACAGGAUUAGAUACCCUGGUAGUCCACACCGUAAACGAUGAAUACUAGGUGUUAGGAGGUUUCCGCCUCUUAGUGCCGAAGCUAACGCAUUAAGUAUUCCGCCUGGGGAGUACGACCGCAAGGUUGAAACUCAAAGGAAUUGACGGGGACCCGCACAAGCGGUGGAGCAUGUGGUUUAAUUCGAAGCAACGCGAAGAACCUUACCAGGUCUUGACAUCCUUUGAAGCUUUUAGAGAUAGAAGUGUUCUCUUCGGAGACAAAGUGACAGGUGGUGCAUGGUCGUCGUCAGCUCGUGUCGUGAGAUGUUGGGUUAAGUCCCGCAACGAGCGCAACCCUUAUUGUUAGUUGCCAGCAUUCAGUUGGGCACUCUAGCGAGACUGCCGGUGACAAACCGGAGGAAGGCGGGGACGACGUCAGAUCAUCAUGCCCCUUAUGACCUGGGCUACACACGUGCUACAAUGGCGUAUACAACGAGUUGCCAACCUGCGAAGGUGAGCUAAUCUCUUAAAGUACGUCUCAGUUCGGACUGCAGUCUGCAACUCGACUGCACGAAGUCGGAAUCGCUAGUAAUCGCGGAUCAGCACGCCGCGGUGAAUACGUUCCCGGGUCUUGUACACACCGCCCGUCACACCAUGGGAGUUUGUAAUGCCCAAAGCCGCGUAGAGUAACAUCUCUGGCUCGAGGCGGUCUAAGGCGGCAGCCGC